CUUGAUACCAAAAUCUGGCACACACACACACACACACACACACACACACACACACACACAAACUUCAGGCCAAUACCCUUGAUGAACAUCAAUGCAAAAAUCCUCAACAAAAUACGGGCAAACCAAAUCCAGCAGCACAUCAAAAAGUUAAUCCAUCAUGAUCAAGUAUGCUUCAUCCCCAGGAUGCAAGGUUGCCUCAACAUACACGUCAAUUAAUCUGAUUCAUCCCAUAAACAAAACUAAAGAUAAAAACCAUGUGAUUAUCUCAAUAUAUGCAGAAAAGGCUUUCAAUAAAAUUCAAGGCCUCUCCAUAUUAAAAACUCUAAAAAAUCUGGGUAUUGAGGAAACAUAGCUCAAAGUGAUGAGCUGUUUUUGUACCAGUAUCAUGCUGUUUUGGUUACUGUAGCCCUGUAGUAUAGUUUGAAGUUGGGUAACAUGAUGCCUCCAGCUUUGUUCUUUUUGCUGAGGAUUGCUUGGCUAUUAGGGCUCUUUUUUUUUUUGGUUCCAUAUGAAUUUUGAAAUAGUUUGCUCUAGUUCUGUGAGGAAUGCCAUUGGUAAUUUAAUAGGGAUAACUUGCAUCUGUAAAUUACUUUGGGCAGUAUAGCCAUUUUAAUGAUGUUAAUUCUUCCUAUCCAUGAGCAUGAAAUGUUUUUCCAUUUGUUUGUGUCUUCUCUGAUUUCUUUGAGCAGUGUUUUGUAAUUCUCCUAGAGAUCUCUUAGAGAUCUUUCACCUCCCUGGUUAGCUGUAUUCCUAGGUAUUUUAUUUUUUCUGUGUGUAGCAAUUAUGAAUGGGAUUAUGUUCUUCAUUUGACUCUCUGCUUUACUGCUAGGAAUUUUUGCACAUUGAUUUUGUAUGCUAAGACUUUGCUAAAGUUUAUCAGCAGAAGGAGCUUUGGGGCUAAGACUAUGGGGUUUUCUAGAUAUAGAAUCAUGUCAUCUGUAAACAGAGACAGUUUGACUUCCUGUCUAUUCCUCUCUUCCCUCCUCUAUUUGGAUGCCCUUCCAGUUUUGCACAUUCAGUGUAAUGUUGGCUGUGGGUUUGCCAUGGCUAGCUCUCAUCAUUUUGGCACUUCCGACUAGAAGUGCGAGAGGGGCCAGUGUUGUUGUUACCUGAAAGGUAAGUGCAGCCCACAAAAAUGCAGUGAAGAAGAAGAUAUAUGCAUAUGUUUAAGUUAAUACAAUUGAGAUACAUUUAGCAGACAGAAUCAAUAGAGUUGAUGAGUGACUGACUGGAUGUGUGGGGAGUUUAUAUCACUCCCAGGUUUUUGACUUGGGCAACCGGGCACUCAAGAAGGAAAAAGAGGAUCCAGGGAGAGGAACUUUUCUGAGGACUGGGGUAGGGCUGAACAGCUGCAUUCGAGACUGGUGGAGGGUGGGCUGGGCAUGGGAUGCACAAAUGGAAAUUCCACUGGGUCUGCAGCUCACACAUAGGCAUGACCAGCAUAGAGAUAGAGAGGCCCCAGUGCUGCUGAGUAACUGUGAUUCCCCAGGUGAUGGCAUCAGCUGAGAAGGGAAGGAAGCCCAUGUGAGGACACUGAAGAAGGAGUGAGCAGACAAUAAGAAGCCCACAGAAGACAGAGAAGGAACAACUAGAGGGAGAAGCCAAGGCAGACACUACCCAAAGCAGUCCUUCACUACAGUGGCAGACAGACCUGAAAAUUUUCAUCUGAAGCAGCAGAGUGAACUGCAGAGUCAGAGAUAGAAUCUCACUAUGUUGACCAGGCUGGUCUUGAACUCUUGGCACCCAAGCGAUCCUUUUGCCUGGAAUCCCAAAGUGUCAGAUUUACUGAAGAAUAUUUCAUUGUAAUUACUUUUUAUACUUUAUAGGUCAAGAGCUCUGUUUUAAAGACAAAAUUUAUUGAAUAUACUUUUUC
rnacentral:lncRNA from 10 species